rnacentral:tRNA from 1 species
GAAAGAGACAGAGGUUAGAUUCAGAAAGAGCGGCUACAUGAUUAAAAAAUAAAGCAAAUGACAAGUUUCGGACAGUACUCCAACAUUUGUAUGGAUAUAGACAUUUAUGUUACAUAAUUAGAAUGAAUUACGUAAUUAGUCUUUUCUAGCAGGGCAUUCGAAAGAGGAUUGGAUCUGGAGGGUCCAGGUCUUUCCCCCUCCAGGAGCCACCUCGUGCUGGCCUGGGAGCACCCAAAUUUUGCCUCAGUUUUGGAGACUGCGACUCAAAACAGGACCGAAGUGGGUGGGGCUUAGAGCUAACAAGCUCUCUUUCUACUGGUCAGGUUUACGUAGAGAUUUUUUUUAACGUGGCAAAUAGGCUUCACGGACGGUGGCUUUCAGCUUCCCUGGUGGUCUAGUGGUUAGGAUUCGGCGCUCUCACCGCCGCGGCCCGGGUUCGAUUCCCGGUCAGGGAAAAACUCUUUUGGCACUCUCACCGAAAAAUCUUGAGUUCUUACCUUUUUUUUGGGUACAGCAUCAGGUUAUUUCCCUGUUCUUCAAAGCACCUGCGGGUUGUUGGCACAGAAGAGAAUGUAAACAUUGGGUCCCACUUGCUGGAGCACUGAUUCGGAGGAGAUUCUGCUUUGAAGUGAGAACUGAAAGUCCAAGAGUAGAAAUGCUUCCCUAGAGAUUGAGUGCCCCGUAAAGAGGCAAGGUUUGCCGGCUUGACUUCUACUAGAGGAGGACAAAGAAAGUCUGAAGGAGAAGAGUCAGUACAAGCCAGAGUCAAAGAAGCCAAAGAAGAAAAAGUCUAGAAAUUGCAGUGUACGUAUUAAUAGCAUAAAGGAUAUUUCUCGUUUGGUUAAUUUUUUAAUGGAGUUUUAUUUUAUUUAGUCUUGGUGUCAUCCUCAUUGUGUUUCACCUAUACUAUUGCUAUUUUUAGUCAAAUAAGUACACUUUUCCUAAAUAAUAUUGUCACUUAGACACAGCAGUACUGUAUCACAUUACCUACACACAGCACAAAGUUGCCGCUUUGUAGAGCCAGAAUAUUGUGCUCAGUUCCGUCCUUAUGAAAAAGGGGGAGAUGCCGAAAGACUGUUGCCAGAAAUAUUCCACAUAUGAGGAGGUUCCUUAAAGGUGAAGGAAUAGAAAGUAUUUAACCUGCUCAGAUGAAAGCAAAGGAUAUUUGCUGCAUACCAAAAACAUUUUUCUGAACUAGUCAAAUUAUUUCAUUUUAAACACAAAAUCAUCAUAUAUCCAGGGUUAGGGUGAUACAUAAUUGAAUAUUAAGAUGGCUGAGAGGAACCAAGGGUGGGGAGGAAGGAAGGGAAGGACUUUCACCAGCAUCUAAUACAGGGCUUGACAUAUGGUUGGUGCUGAAUUAAUGGAUU